GCCACUUUGGAAAACUCCUCCAUUGCUCGGCUCUGCAGAGACUCCAAAGACUGGAUCGCAGGGUGGCUGUUUUCCAGGAAAUUCUGUUGGGUGACACAAAUUACAACAUGAACAUGUCACAUGUUGUUGCAGGUUGGCGUACACUCAUGACAGAAGCAAAGUGGUCCUCAGAGGUAAGUGGGAUCUUCAGACACGCCGCUCUGAUGUCCUGGAUGGUGGCGUGAAGGUCGCUCAGCUCUGUGGUCACCACCCUCUGGUUCACUGGAGAAACAAGAGUAACGGCUUGAAAUUCUGCUUAAAAUGUACUUAGCUUGUUCUGCUGCCUUGAUGGAUUCAGUGCGUCGUACCCUUGGCUGCCAGAGGCACUGUGGUGAGGUCUCUGGAAAAGUUGAGCAGCUCUGGGAAAUGUUGGUGCAGAGACUUAGCCAGAAUGUGGAGGAAGGUUAAUUUCCCAUCCACAGUUUUGGUCGUGCUGAGCUAGCAGAAGCAAUAAAACGAUUAGACAGGAUAGAUCGAUCCAAACUCCGGAGAGAUGAAAGAUGAGCCCGUCCGUACCUCGGUGAGGAAGUUGAUCUUAAAACUGGUCGUCCUGUGGCUCUUGGGUUGGCCGUUGUUGAGGUAAUUCCCCAUUGCAAGUACAAACUGUUCAAUAGAGAGAGCUCGUAAGCAUUAAAGUGUGUCAAAUAGAACAGAUCUAUUGUAAGACUUUAUUAGUUCCACAACGGGAACGUUCUGUUUUUACAGCAGCGAAGUGGACAGGAUCAGUACAAAAGAAUAAUAACACAGUAAUCCGACGAGAAAACUCCUGCAAAAGACAAAACGCGUGACGUGUAUAAGUGUAAUGUAUACAUUUCAUAUAGGCAAAGACAGGCACUUUGCUGGCUAAACCGUGAGACAAUGUGCCUCUAAACAACAGCCUCGGCGUUAUAGGCAACGCAAAGCCUCAUGGUGCUUGCUGCUGCUUCCCAGAAUCCCUUGCUGUGCUCUUUUCAACUACAGCUUGUCCAAAAUCAAGCUCUCUUUACUUGCAUUUGUUCCAUAUGCUCCCUAAUGGGUCCUACUCCUUGUACUGUCCAUGACAGUAUACAUAUGGAUAAAUAAUAUACUGUAUGAAGAGAAUACUAUACUAUAUUAUUCAUACAUAUAUGCACAUGUCAAUGUGAACAAAUAGGAGUAAGCAUAGGCAGCAGCAUUAUAUUGUGUGUGCGUGUAGUUUUACAUGAAUGGAAGAACGUGUGAUGGUUUUCACCUCGAGGAUUUUGGCCAGUUUCUUGCUGGUCUUCAGCUCCACGGACGCCUUGUAGAUGUAAUCAAAGGCCACCUUCAACUCCUCCGUCCUCUCCUGCAGCGUGGUCUUAAAGUGGAGGCUCCUAAGGCGGGUCUUGUACUCAGGUACCAUCAGCAUCUGGACCAGGGCACCGCUCGUGUUGCAUCGAUUCCAAAAAUGUUUUCAUGUUAGCGUUAGGUAGUAGUUACCUGGAAAAUAAAGUGGUCAGGCUCGCUCAGUUUGGCCGGGUCCUGGUCGAACUGCUCGUAUUUUUUGACCUCGUCCUCGUCGGGGGCGUAGAGCAGCAGCUGCUUGAUGUGGGCGGGCUCCAGCCUGUCCGUGGUCAUGUCCAUCAGGACCUGGCGAAGCUCGUCGGGGGAGAGCUUCAGAUGGGCGAUGAGGAUGGCUGUGAGAAGGAGUCGGUUGACAAUUCAAUGGAGGGUUGGCAAUCAUACAUGUAAGAAUGACGGCUUGUUAAUGGUGGAAGCCUCGGGGAAGUUCUUCCAGUCUCGAGGCGAAAAUGAGCAGGAGUCCCUCGGUCGCCAUGGCAACUAUUAGGGCUGUUGAUCACUCACAUUAUGGAGCGCUAAAAUAGCUGGCUACAGCCAUCACUAAUACCAAUAAGCUUUCAAAAGCACUGUAACUAACCAAAGCAAUACAACAAACAGCUGUGCCUUCUGCUAUCGCCAUGGCAACAUAUGGCUUCCAUUGGCAACUUUUUGAAUACACCAACUUUAUCAGGUACACGCACGUAUUCUAAUGAUAGUCAAAAAAAGAGACACAUCAUGUUAUAUUAUUAUGUCCAAUACGUAUACCCACAUGGUUCAUAUUAAAAUUAUGAUUCAAUACACUGAAAGGUUUGUCUAUUAUUAAGCAAGCAGUAAACAGGCAGUGCAGUAGUAGAAGUCAAAACAUUAUAAACACCUUUUAUUAUCAUGCAGUGCAGUUCCACAGCAAUAAACAAUGUUAUUAUCUUUGCAGCACAGCUCUUGUAUUGGAUGUACUGGAUCAGUAGAGGAAAAAAAAAAAUCCCAGUAAAUGUGGACGGAGUCUAACCAAGCAGGAUAUCUUUCAUGUAUGUUAAUUGUUUUCUUUUGCAGAAGGCUUCACUCACAGGCAUUGUAGGCUUUCUUGUGAGACAGAAUCUCCACAAUGUCUUUCUUUUUAAAGUUCUCGGGCAGGAAGGUCGGCUCUGGUGGAGACACUGGUAAUUAAACAACAGUGUGAGGAUGAGUUCUCCAGGCAGCGGGGAUCGAUAAGACACACACAGUAACACAGACACACACAUUCCAGGAUGAUAAAUUAAUAACACAGUUCUGUCGCGUGACACUCUUGAGGCCAAGGUUCACUGACUGAUGAAUAGGAUUCGUCUUUUUUGUGGCAGAACUGUGUUAUCGGUGAACUCAAGGCGGGCGAAAGCGGUGCCUUAUGGAGAGUGGAUUUGAAGACAAGGUGAAUGAAGCAGGCAUCAUCUACGUGACUGAUAUGACUGUAAAAGUACAGGCAAAACAAGAAUUUAACUUGAAGAAAGAAGUGAUCAACAAUACACACAAUGUGUUCAAAUAGUGUGAGAGGCAACUGCGAUGAGAUGAUGACGACAAUCCAGAAAGAUGAGAGGACAUCCACAACAACUUACUGGAUCUGCGUUGAGUACCAAAGUGGAGAUCAAGGUCCAAAUAUUUCACCAUGUCGGUGAGCUUGUCGUAGUCGGAAUCCUCUCCGAGCUGAACAAAGAGAGGGACACGUUGUACUCUUCAGUGGGAAUAUUCGUACAAAUGCUCAGCAUGAGUGUGACCUUUGCGAGGGUACAAGCUGCUCUUGUCUUUUAAUUUUGUUUGACAAACACGUGCUUGUUGUGAAGCUGCCGUGACUCAUCAGAGGCAAGUCAUGUAGGCGAGUUUGGAAUAAAGAACUCUUCACUGUAAAAUAUCUGUGUGUGAGUGCGAGUGUGUUGUAUUCUAGCAUGCGGGAAGA